rnacentral:rRNA from 1 species
UACGGGGGGGGCAAGCGUUGUUCGGAAUUACUGGGCGUAAAGGGCUCGUAGGUCGCCAACUAAGUCAGACGUGAAAUCCCUCGGCUUAACCGGGGAACUGCGUCUGAUACUGGAUGGCUUGAGUUUGGGAGAGGGACGCGGAAUUCCAGGUGUAGCGGUGAAAUGCGCAGAUAUCAGGAGGAACACCGGUGGCGAAGGCGGAUCUCUGGGCCUUACCUGACGCUGAGGCGCGAAAGCUAGGGGAGCGAACAGG